AAUAACAAUAAAGUAAUCUUUCAUGAUUCAUAAACUAAAGUUAAUUAGGAAUAUGUGUUAGAUUUAACUUUUAUAAAAUUAAAGUGACAUUUGAAAAUAAAAUGAAAACAAGCUUGUGAAAAUUAAAUUUGGGAAAUUAUCAGUCAUAUACCCUAUAUUUGCUACAAUACUUUGAGGGUGUAUCAAUUGUCCACCCUUAGUUGACAAAAUAUAUCAGUCGACCACCAAACCGUUAAUUAUCGUUUGAAAGUUAACGGAGUUAUAGCGAAUUGACGAUUUUACCCUUGAAAAUUAUAACGUGUAUACCCUUAAAUUCUCUUUUUAUCACUUGUAUACCCUUAAAUUAUCACUUGUAUCAUAUGAAAAGACCAAAUUACCCUUUUGACGUCAUCAUACUUAAACGGCAACUAACAGUUUGGUGGUCAGCUGAUACAUUUUGUCAACUUAGGGUGGACGAUUGAUACACCUUCAAAGUGUUGUAGUAUUUUUGAUAAUGGAGUAAACUAAGGGUAUACAAAUAAUAAUUUCCCAUUAAAUUUUAUAAGGCUCAGAUAA
rnacentral:lncRNA from 1 species